AUUGAACGCUGGCGGCAUGCCUUACACAUGCAAGUCGAACGGUAACAGGUCUUCGGAUGCUGACGAGUGGCGAACGGGUGAGUAAUACAUCGGAACGUGCCCGAUCGUGGGGGAUAACGAAGCGAAAGCUUUGCUAAUACCGCAUAAGAUCUAAGGAUGAAAGAAGGGGCACGCAAGGCCUGGCGCGACCGGAGCGGCCGAUGGCAGAUUAGGUAGUUGGUGGGAUAAAAGCUUACCAAGACGACGAUCUGUAGCUGGUCUGAGAGGACGACCAGCCACACUGGGACUGAGACACGGCCCCGACUCCUACGGGAGGCAGCAGUGGGGAAUUUUGGACAAUGGGCGCAAGCCUGAUCCAGCCAUGCCGCGUGCAGGAUGAAGGCCUUCGGGUUGUAAACUGCUUUUGUACGGAACGAAAAGACUCUGGUUAAUACCUGGGGUUCAUGACGGUACCGUAAGAAUAAGCACCGGCUAACUACGUGCCAGCCGCCGCCGUAA
rnacentral:rRNA from 1 species